UUCUUUCCGGUUCAAUUUCGACUAUGAUGUAGACUGGUAUUGUGGUUCUUUGCUGAGCGUCCUUUUUGCAGUUAAUUGAUACAUUAAGUCUUCAUCUCAGUGGUAUCUUCUUUUUGUAGUAACAAACAAAGAAUUUACGAAAGAUGUUUCGCAAUCAAUACGACAGCGACGUGACGGUGUGGAGUCCUCAAGGACGCCUACAUCAAGUCGAGUAUGCUAUGGAAGCUGUAAAAUUGGGGUCGGCAACGGUAGGACUAAAAAACAAAAUGUAUGCCGUUCUGAUUGCUCUAAAAAGGGCCACUUCGGAACUCUCAGCUUAUCAGAAGAAAAUUAUCCCUAUUGACAAACACAUGGGGAUCACAAUUUCUGGUUUAACUGCCGAUGCUAGAAUGCUAAGUCGCUACAUGCGCACCGAAUGUUUGAAUUACAAAUAUUCGCAUGACGAUGUUUUGCCUGUAAGCCGUUUAAUAGCAUCUCUUGGUAAUAAGAUGCAAACGUGUACCCAACGUUAUGACAGGCGGCCUUAUGGAGUGGGCCUGCUCGUGGCUGGAUACGAUGAUCAAGGUCCACAUAUAUAUCAGACAUGUCCAUCCGCUAAUUACUUUGACUGCAAGGCUAUGGCAAUUGGUGCUCGCUCUCAAAGCGCGAGAACUUAUCUGGAGAAACACGUAAACGAAUUUCCAUACUGUGAUCUCGAUGAGCUCAUCAAGCAUGGACUUAGAGCAUUACGUGAUACGCUGCCUAACGAAGUUGAUCUUUCUGUAAAGAAUGUGUCCAUUGGUGUGGUAGGAAAGGGUAAAGAGUUCAUCAUCUUGGACGAAACAGCAACAUUGGUAUACCUAUCGGAGAUAGAAGGGGAUGAGAAGCGCAAUAGAAAUGUGGAACCGAGUGUGGAACAAGACGAUAAACCCCCUCGAGAUCCACCUGAAAGGGAAGGCCCUCGUGACCCACAAGUCGACAUCGCUAUGGAGCAAAUGGAUACGGAGUGACAGGGACUAUAACUAAAACGAUUUUCAAGGAAUGCAAAGUUGCCUCCUGAAGGACAGACGAUCUUACCAAGGGACCACUUGCAGUGUACAGGAAUCCCAAUUCAUCUCCAUAAUUUCUCCAGGACUCGAACUUUUCUGGAGUCACGUAUUCAAUGACUUUCAAGUGUCUUUUGGUGGGCUGCAUGUACUGGCC